rnacentral:rRNA from 1 species
CGAGGAAUCUUGGGCAAUGAGCGAAAGCCUGACCCAGCGACGCCGCGUGAGGGAUGAAGGCCUUCGGGUCGUAAACCUCUUUUAUGGGAGAAGAAGUUCUGACGGUAUCCCAUGAAUAAGCCACGGCUAACUACGUGCCAGCAGCCGCGGUAAUACGUAGGUGGCAAGCGUUGUCCGGAUUUACUGGGCGUAAAGGGCUUGUAGGCGGUUCGUUAAGUCCGGUGUGAAAUCUCCCGGCUCAACCGGGAUAGGUCACUGGAUACUGGCGAACUAGAGGGGGGUAGAGGAGAGCAGAAUUCCUGGUGUAGCGGUGAAAUGCGUAGAUAUCAGGAGGAAUACCAGUGGCGAAGGCGGCUCUCUGGGCCUACCCUGACGCUGAGGAGCGAAAGCGUGGGGAGCAAACCGGAUUAGAUACCCGGGUAGUCCACGCCCUAAACGGUGGAUGCUAGGUGUGGGGGUGUCGACCCCUCCGUGCCGCAGCUAACGCUUUAAGCAUCCCGCCUGGGGAGUACGGCCGACG